GCUCCGCAGUAGGCAGGGGCUGUCUGGGUCCUGCUGGUGCCUGAGAAUUCUCUCACUUCUUCCCGGCAGCUCUAGCAUCUUCCUUCCCAAGCCACAGAGGCAUCCCUUCUGAUGUAUUCUGGUUGGUUGAGCCCCAUCAGCCUGUUUCAUCUCCAGCUUUUCUCCCUGGACAGGGGUGGGGAAAGGAGUGCUGGAUUCGGAGCUCCUCCCUCCCUGCACCGCCUCAUUUUCUCCUCCGGGUCUGGCGCACAGUGGCCAUUUCCGAUGCACCCUGAAGACUGAAGGAGCCAGGGCAGAGCCAGGAUCCUGCGAGCCAUGGCCCUGGCUGCCCUGCUGAGCCUCCCGGAACCCAGGCCAUCAGGGAUAAAGAAAGCUUUUUAUGGCUCACUGACUGAGGACAAUCAAUCCCUUCACAAUCUGGAACCUGAAGAUUGGAUCUUCUGAGAACAUCAGAGAAAGAGUGCCCUUGCCAUCCACACUGCAGCAAACAUCAGAACCGUGAACCUUGGGUUCAUAAUCUCUCAACUGAGAAGGAUUCCUCCACAUUCUUGGAACUGUACACCCAUUGGAACCCUUAAGAAGCACUUGGCUCUCGCUGUACUUCAACCACCUCCAUAAACUCAACAUCCAUCAGACUGGUCAACUGAUGUCUGAAUCCCAACUGUGGAUUAAGUGGAACUUCUUCCCCAUAGGUGUCCUGGGAAGCAUGAAAAUCAUAUAGGUGUCUGUUUUAAGGUCCCAGAAUAUUCCAUGAGAAGCACUUUGCUCCAUCUUCUUUGUCAGGAGCUGGUCAGCCUGGAGCACAUCAGAGACCUCCAGGGGGCGCUGGAGCUAAGGCUUGAUACCCACUGGCCUCAUUUCUGACCUAAUUCAAAUAUAUUUCACCAAGGCAAGGAUUCCUGUUUGUUCUAGUUGCCUUUGCUCAAUUACUUCUAGAUUUGGGUGGGCAUCCACACUGGAAUGGCCAGGACUUCUAUCCUCCUUCUUCCUCCAUCUUCCCCACCCGUGUGUUUUUCUCUACUCUAAUUCAUGCCCUUAUGAUUUUCCUGGACAAUAAUAGUAAUUUCUUAUCUCAUCUCUCUGCCUCUGGUUCCUGCUGUCUCCAACUGACUUCACAGUCUUCCGAAAACAGAUUUCCAGCCUUGUCAUUUUCAUUUGAAGAUUUCUGAAGAUUUUAAAAAAUAUUCAGUGUUCUGGCACUUAUCUGGCUGCUGAGAAUCACUUGGGAGCUGAUUAAAAACAUAGAUCUCCAGACCUCCCCACCCAGGGAAUCUGAAUCUCUAGGCAGUGAGUCGGGGGGAAUCUUUGCUUCACAGAGGAUCUCAAGGAGAGUCUUCUGCGCAGCGAGGUUGGGGACCUGCUGGCCUAGAGUGUAGCAGGACGAGCCGCAGACAAAACCUUUCAGACACUGAGUUGUAGA
rnacentral:lncRNA from 1 species